GACGUAGGAGGCGAGCGUUGUCCGGAUUCAUUGGGCGUAAAGGGUGCGUAGGCGGCGCGGUAAGUCGGGUGUGAAAUCUCGGGGCUUAACUCCGAAACUGCAUUCGAUACUGCCGUGCUUGAGGACUGGAGAGGAGACUGGAAUUUACGGUGUAGCGGUGAAAUGCGUAGAUAUCGUAAGGAAGACCAGUGGCGAAGGCGGGUCUCUGGACAGUUCCUGACGCUGAGGCACGAAGGCCAGGGGAGCAAACGGG
rnacentral:rRNA from 1 species